GCCGGGAUAGCUCAGUGGUAGAGCAACUGAUUCGUAAUCAGUAGGUCGUGAGUUCAACUCUCAUUCCCGGCU
rnacentral:tRNA from 1 species